CCGGCCUUGACAUCCUCCCGACAGGUGAGUAACGUCACCCUUCCUUCGGGACGGGAGAGACAGGUGGUGCAUGGUUGUCGUCAGCUCGUGUCGUGAGAUGUUGGGUCAAGUCCCGCAACGAGCGCAACCCCUGCCUCCGGUAGCCAGCAGGUGAAGCUGGGCACUCCGGAGGGACUGCCCGGGACAACCGGGAGGAAGGCGGGGACGACGUCAAAUCAUCAUGCCCCUUACGGCCGGGGCUACACACGUGCUACAAUGGCGUAAACAGAGGGAAGCGGCCCCGCGAGGGUGAGCGAAGCCCAAAAAUAACGUCCCAGUUCGGACUGCGGUCUGCAACCCGACCGCACGAAGCCGGAAUCGCUAGUAAUCGCGGAUCAGAAUGCCGCGGUGAAUACGUUCCC
rnacentral:rRNA from 1 species